rnacentral:rRNA from 1 species
AGUGAACGCUGGCGGUAGGCCUAACACAUGCAAGUCGAACGGCAGCACAGUAAGAGCUUGCUCUUACGGGUGGCGAGUGGCGGACGGGUGAGGAAUACAUCGGAAUCUACUUUUUCGUGGGGGAUAACGUAGGGAAACUUACGCUAAUACCGCAUACGACCUACGGGUGAAAGCAGGGGAUCUUCGGACCUUGCGCGAUUCAAUGAGCCGGUGUCGGAUUAGCUAGUUGGCGGGGUAAAGGCCCACCAAGGCGACGAUCCGUAGCUGGUCUGAGAGGAUGAUCAGCCACACUGGAACUGAGACACGGUCCAGACUCCUACGGGAGGCAGCAGUGGGGAAUAUUGGACAAUGGGCGCAAGCCUGAUCCAGCCAUACCGCGUGGGUGAAGAAGGCCUUCGGGUUGUAAAGCCCUUUUGUUGGGAAAGAAAAGCAGCAGGUUAAUACCCCGCUGUUCUGACGGUACCCAAAGAAUAAGCACCGGCUAACUUCGUG